GGAGUUAGCCGGUGCUUCUUCUGCGAGUAACGUCACAGAUGUAAGGUAUUAACUUACACCCUUUCCUCCUCGCUGAAAGUGCUUUACAACCCGAAGGCCUUCUUCACACACGCGGCAUGGCUGCAUCAGGGUUUCCCCCAUUGUGCAAUAUUCCCCACUGCUGCCUCCCGUAGGAGUCUGGGCCGUGUCUCAGUCCCAGUGUGGCUGAUCAUCCUCUCAGACCAGCUAGGGAUCGUCGCCUAGGUGAGCCUUUACCUCACCUACUAGCUAAUCCCACCUGGGCUUAUCCAUCAGCGCAAGGCCCGAAGGUCCCCUGCUUUCCCCCGUAGGGCGUAUGCGGUAUUAGCAGUCGUUUCCAACUGUUAUCCCCCACAAAUGGGCAAAUUCACAGGCAUUACUCACCCGUCCGCCGCUCGUCAUCUUCAAAAGCAAGCUUUUGAAAUGUUACCGCUCGACUUGCAUGUGUUAGGCCUGCCGCCAGCGUUCAAUCUGAGCCAGAAUCAAACUCUGA
rnacentral:rRNA from 1 species